rnacentral:rRNA from 1 species
UACGGGGGGGGCAAGCGUUGUUCGGAAUUACUGGGCGUAAAGGGCUCGUAGGCGGCCAACUAAGUCAGAUGUGAAAUCCCCAGGCUUAACCUGGGAACUGCAUCUGAUACUGGAUGGCUUGAAUCCGGGAGAGGGAUGCAGAAUUCCAGGUGUAGCGGUGAAAUGCGUAGAUAUCUGGAGGAAUACCGGUGGCGAAGGCGGCAUCCUGGACCGGCAUUGACGCUGAUGAGCGAAAGCUAGGGGAGCAAACGGGG